rnacentral:rRNA from 1 species
CGUAGGGGCGAGCGUUAUCCGGAUUUACUGGGUGUAAAGGGAGCGUAGACGGCGUAUCAAGUCUGAUGUGAAAGGCAGGGGCUUAACCCCUGGACUGCAUUGGAAACUGGUAUGCUUGAGUGCCGGAGGGGUAAGCGGAAUUCCUAGUGUAGCGGUGAAAUGCGUAGAUAUUAGGAGGAACACCAGUGGCGAAGGCGGCUUACUGGACGGUAACUGACGUUGAGGCUCGAAAGCGUGGGGAGCAAACAGGAUU